UUCUGACGACCACCGCACCUCAACCUCUUUUCUCUCCUCUCUCAGCCUCGCCUCCACUCCGCUACACCGUCCUCUUCCCAUAAGAGAGCAGCCGCUGCCACUCCUCCUUCUCCACACCAGCGAACGCCACCGCGUCACCUGACUCCAGCUGAACUCUUCCUCCUUUGCCUUUCAAAAUCUAAAAUUCCCAAAAGUCUGUAAAUCUCCGAUGGUCUCCAGCGAAGUAAGUUCCUGAAUCAAGCAUCGAUGGAUCCCAACAGUGGUAAUGACAUUUAUCAUCUUUGAAUUUAUUUAGCUUGUAGCCGAGCUACUAAUCCACAAGGUCAAGGUUAGAUUAUACAGUUUUGUGUGAUUUUUCUGGAUUAUCGAUUAGAUCAUUACAUGGGCUCCUGGUAAUCUGUGAACUUUGUUUUAGUCUAAUUAUUUGAUUGAUCUAUUUCGAUUACUGAUUGUUUGUGCGUACUCAUACUUUAGAUAUCUAAUUUUGAACUUUGUGGAUUCGACCCCUACUGCUCUAUUAUAUAUGGUCUGCUUGUUUGCUGCAUUGGAACCUUGUUUUUCUAAAAGAAAAAUAUUCUUUCAUAUGUUUCAGAUCAAUUAUAUGGUAUAUUUAGUCGAGUCAGAUUCACGAAAAAUUCCUCUAUGGAAAAAAAUGUUGUAGUCUUACCUUAUUUAAUUCACAACAGCCUUAACACUUUGUGGUUUAUGAAAGCAGAUUGAUUUUAUGAUAGAUUAAUUAAAGAAAGUUAUUGAUUUUAUGCCUAAAUUGUGAUUAAUUUCCUUAAUUAACUGAGGCAGCUCAUAGUACUUGCUAAUAUAUGGUAAUUCAACCUUUAUUCCACUGUUAAAUUGACUGAAACACCUCUGAAUAUAUAAUAUUGUUUUCUUUCCAUCCUUGCAACUUGGUUUAAUUAUAUGACAGCUUUGGUAGUGGUUCAAUUAUGGUAAGUUGGGAUUUAUAUUAUCAGUUUCCCUUCUGUCCUUGCUGGAUCCGAGAACAACAUGUAAUACAUGUUUGUUUCUUGUGAUUAGCUGAUUUGGUGGUUAUUUUUUCUCUUGAUUGACAAAAGAUUUUAAGCUAUAUAAAGAGCUCUUUUCUUCUGUAACUGAUCACUUCUUUCCGGGAGACAUCAUUUGAGCUCUUACGGAUCACUAGUCACUGGAAAGGAGCCUUUCGAGCUUUCCUCCUCAAAAUCACUGAUCACUGGAAGAAUUUCCUUAACUUCUCUUUCGCUCUAAAAAAUAAACAGCAUCUUUUCUCUAUUUCUCUCUACUCUGGUGGCUGCUAAGCCUAAACAGCCCUUGUUACUUUGCCUUAACAUUCUCCUCGGCACGAGCACUAUUCUUGUGAUCUUGAUGUGUCAUACUGCUUGGAUUAUUGCGGUUUCUGGACCGUUUCUUCUUAACUGGUAAGUAUUCUAACAACUUUUAUGUUAGUUAUACAUAGUUGGAAAGCUCGAAUGCCUUGUGCAUUUUGUGGAAGACCAUACAGGUACGUUGCUUUAAACUUUAUGAGUAAAAUACCUGAACUUCUAAAUCUUGUUGCUGUAAAUGGGAUUGUUGAAUUUCUUAUCAUUUAUGACAGUAAUUUAUAAGUUUUGAGUAAUGAGUUCUGGUAUUUAAUGUUGCAAUCGAAUCUGCCUCCUUUGUGUUGUUGGUUGUAUCGCUAAAUAUGCCUUAUAAGACAUGGUUUUGAAUUCGUGUUUGUUAACAGAAAUUUAGAUCGGAUGUGGGCCAGGGACUUUGGAGUGGUUGGAGGCUAUUUAAUUUAUAAAAGUUUUCAUGCUUUGUUCAAGCAUGCUUCUUAUUUGGCUUGUAAUAUUUUGUAAUAAGCACGCUAUAAUAAUAAGGAUUUGGGGCGGGGAAAUUAUAUGCUAUGUGUUUUUUUUACUUCUUUUUCCAUGUCUCACUUUCUUAUUUUCCUUUUAAUUAUUCUUAUUUAAGUAUUUAACUCAAGUUUCAAUUGUUAAAAGUUGUUUCUAUUUCUCUUUGUCAAAGUCAUUGUUCAACUCUGUUUUUUCAUAAUUUGGAUCGGAUAUGACAUUUUUAUUUUUAAUUAUAUAUAUAUAAAUACUAUCUCCUAACCUAUAGUUAGUGGGAAAGUAAAGGGAAUUACGAUGUUUAAUUCCAAUUUUUCUAACUAAGCCGAUGCGUCUCCGGGCACCACCUAUCCAAGAUGUCUUUCAAAAGGAAUUAUGUGUACUUAUGUGUGUAUAUAUAUGCUUAUAUUUAAAUCAAAUCUUUCAUCUAUUCUUUGAAUAUUAUAUUAUUUUUCUAAGACUGACCUUAAAUAAAAAUAUUUUUAUGAUGGAGGAGUGC
rnacentral:lncRNA from 1 species